rnacentral:rRNA from 1 species
CCUACGGGGGGCGGCAGUGGGGAAUAUUGGACAAUGGGGGAAACCCUGAUCCAGCCAUGCCGCGUGUGUGAAGAAGGUCUUAGGAUUGUAAAGCACUUUAAGUUGGGAGGAAGGGCAGUUAACUAAUAUUUGACUGUUUUGACGUUACCGACAGAAUAAGCACCGGCUAACUUCGUGCCAGCAGCCCCGGUC